rnacentral:rRNA from 1 species
GAUGAACGCUGGCGGCGUGCCUAAUACAUGCAAGUCGAGCGAACAGACGAGGAGCUUGCUCCUCUGACGUUAGCGGCGGACGGGUGAGUAACACGUGGAUAACCUACCUAUAAGACUGGGAUAACUUCGGGAAACCGGAGCUAAUACCGGAUAAUAUAUUGAACCGCAUGGUUCAAUAGUGAAAGACGGUUUUGCUGUCACUUAUAGAUGGAUCCGCGCCGCAUUAGCUAGUUGGUAAGGUAACGGCUUACCAAGGCAACGAUGCGUAGCCGACCUGAGAGGGUGAUCAGCCACACUGGAACUGAGACACGGUCCAGACUCCUACGGGAGGCAGCAGUAGGGAAUCUUCCGCAAUGGGCGAAAGCUUGACGGAGCAACGCCGCGUGAGUGAUGAAGGUCUUCGGAUCGUAAAACUCUGUUAUUAGGGAAGAACAAAUGUGUAAGUAACUCUGCACGUCUUGACGGUACCUAAUCAGAAAGCCACGGCUAACUACGUG